GUAUGAGUUUGAUCCUGGCUCAGAACGAACGCUGGCGGCAGGCUUAACACAUGCAAGUCGAGCGCAUCCUUCGGGGUGAGCGGCAGACGGGUGAGUAACGCGUGGGGAUGUACCCAGAGGUGUGGAAUAACUGUGGGAAACUACAGCUAAUACCGCAUACGCCCUUCGGGGGAAAGAUUUAUUGCCUUUGGAUCAACCCGCGUCAGAUUAGCUAGUUGGUAGGGUAACGGCCUACCAAGGCGACGAUCUGUAGCUGGUCUGAGAGGAUGACCAGCCACACUGGGACUGAGACACGGCCCAGACUCCUACGGGAGGCAGCAGUGGGGAAUAUUGGACAAUGGGCGCAAGCCUGAUCCAGCCAUGCCGCGUGAGUGAUGACGGCCUUAGGGUUGUAAAGCUCUUUUAACAGGGACGAUAAUGACGGUACCUGUAGAAUAAGCCCCGGC
rnacentral:rRNA from 1 species